CCUCCCUGAGUUUGACAUCUCAGCAGAGUUCCCUAGGAUGAGUCACCACGUGGCACAGCUGGCUCUGUUUGUCAGUGACCCAGACAAGGACAUCAGCCGGCAGGCCAGGGAGGGGACUUACCGGCUGUACCAGCUGCUGCUCCAACAGAGGGGGCUGACCAUACACGAGGCAGAAGAGCUGUGGUGCCACGACUGACACCAGGACAGCAGGCUCCUGGGCUAUAAGAACACAGCCAGGGUGGGAGAGGU